AAAUUGAAGAGUUUGAUCAUGGCUCAGAUUGAACGCUGGCGGCAGGCCUAACACAUGCAAGUCGAACGGUAACAGGAAGCAGCUUGCUGCUUUGCUGACGAGUGGCGGACGGGUGAGUAAUGUCUGGGAAACUGCCUGAUGGAGGGGGAUAACUACUGGAAACGGUGGCUAAUACCGCAUAACGUCGCAAGACCAAAGAGGGGGACCUUCGGGCCUCUUGCCAUCAGAUGUGCCCAGAUGGGAUUAGCUAGUUGGUGAGGUAACGGCUCACCAAGGCGACGAUCCCUAGCUGGUCUGAGAGGAUGACCAGCCA
rnacentral:rRNA from 1 species